GGGCGCGUAGCUCAGUGGGAGAGCACUCGCCUUACAAGCGAGGGGUCGCAGGUUCGAAACCUGCCGCGCCCACCC
rnacentral:tRNA from 23 species